UUUCCAGCCAAGGAAUUCUUCCUUCUCAUGUUAUCGGCAAAAUUCAUUCUUCCUGUUUCCUUGGUUCCGCAAAUAAUCGGAGGGUUCAGACAGAAUCUGGAAGCUGUUGGCUUUCCUUAUUAACACGCCUUUGGUCUUUGGGAAGCCUGAUACCGUUUACUGGGUCCUUAACCACUGACUCCCUCAAUGAGGAAAAUCCAGUAGCCAAGAAGAGGGUCCUCAUCAGAAUCUCACCAUCCAGAAGCCAAGAAGAGGGUCCUCAUCAGAAUCUUACCACACUGCAAGCGGCUGUUGAUGCCAGCCUCUAAUUUUCAAUACAUAAGUAUUUGUUGAGCCCUACCUCAACCCCCAGCUGAGGAGUGGCAGACUCCGUCCAGUAAAGACUGUAACAUAGAUGGGUGGAGCUCUCCCUGCCUUCAUCAAAGAAGUCUCCCUUUGGAACAGAUGGAAGCGAUUACAGAAAUCACAACUGGUCCAGUUUCAUAGAGAUCCAUAUGGUCAUCACCUCUGUGGAUCUGGGCAUUGUUCCCACCUGUGAUUUUACCCAGCCCUUCAGGUCCAGUUCUGUUUACAGAGCUUCUCUCCAUCGGGGCUUACCCAAGAACAACUCAACUGCCUUUUUUCCCCCCCGAAACCAUCGUCGGCUCCAGGGAUCCCAGAGUAUCCAGUUGUCUCCGGCAGGAAUCCUAGCUGUAGCCGCUAGCUUUGGCGGUGUGCCAGCUCAGGACUUCAGAACUGCUCUGCCCCCAGCCCCAGUUCAGGAGCCACAGUGUGCUGUGGGUCAGCUUCCUGCUUGCUUCCUUUUCUGAUCCUUCCUGUUGCGGGCCAAAAGCACACGACAGAUUCGGCAUUAUUGCUCUGAAGAGCGGUCCUUAGCACCCCCCCCCCCCUUUAACUUACCUCCUUCCAACA